rnacentral:rRNA from 1 species
CCUACGGGGGGCUGCAGUGGGGAAUAUUGGACAAUGGGGGCAACCCUGAUCGAGCCAUGCCGCGUGUGUGAAGAAGGCCCUCGGGUCGUAAAGCACUUUCAGUGAGGAAGAACGCCUGGUGGUUAAUACCCAUCAGGAAAGACAUCACUCACAGAAGAAGCACCGGCUAACUCCGUGCCAGCAGCCGCGGUAAUACGGAGGGUGCGAGCGUUAAUCGGAAUUACUGGGCGUAAAGCGAGCGUAGGUGGCUUGAUAAGCCGGUUGUGAAAGCCCCGGGCUCAACCUGGGAACGGCAUCAGGAACUGUCAAGCUAGAGUGCAGGAGAGGAAGGUGGAAUUCCCUGUGUAGCGGUGAAAUGCGUAGAGAUAUGGAGGAAUACCAGUGGCGAAGGCGGCCUUCUGGACUGAAACUGACGCUGAGGCGCGAAAGCGUGGGUAGCAAACAGGAUUAGAUACCCUAGUAGUC